CAGUCGCCACGGGAAUACGAGGGGGGCAAGCGUUGUUCGGAAUUAUUGGGCGUAAAGGGCGCGUAGGCGGUUUGGCAAGUUUGGUGUGAAAUCUUCGGGCUCAACUCGAAGUCUGCACCGAAAACUGCCGGGCUUGAAUAUGGGAGAGGUGAGUGGAAUUUCCGGUGUAGCGGUGAAAUGCGUAGAUAUCGGAAGGAACACCAGUGGCGAAGGCGACUACCUGGACUGAUACUGACACUGAGGUGCGAAAGCGUGGGGAUCAAACAGGAUUAGAUACCCCAGUAGUCCCUGUCUCUUAUAC
rnacentral:rRNA from 1 species